rnacentral:rRNA from 1 species
UACGGAGGGUGCAAGCGUUAAUCGGAAUUACUGGGCGUAAAGCGCACGUAGGUGGUUUGUUAAGCCAGCUAUGAAAUCCCCGGGCUCAACCUGGGCACUGCAGUUGGAACUGGCAAGCUAGAGUAGGGUAGAGGGGUGUGGAAUUCCAGGUGUAGCGGUGAAAUGCGUAGAUAUCUGGAGGAACAUCAGUGGCGAAGGCGACACCCUGGACUCAUACUGACACUGAGGUGCGAAAGCGUGGGGAGCAAACAGG